AACUCUCAACCCCCUUGUUUUGUAAUGAAACGAGUGUGGGCUUGGAUUAUGGCUGCUGCCGACAUACUUGUCGACUCGGCUGAAAUACAUGAGCUACCCAAUUUCUAAGAAAUAGACGGUUUGACUCGGCGUAAUAACAUAUUUCGCUGAGGACGUCACAUUCUUUAAACAUUAGUGGUGCUUCUAAUGCGACAUCUAGACCUAAGC
rnacentral:misc_RNA from 1 species